rnacentral:rRNA from 1 species
AUACGGAGGAUCCGAGCGUUAUCCGGAUUUAUUGGGUUUAAAGGGUGCGCAGGCGGCCAUUUAAGUCAGCGGUUAAAUCGUGGGGCUCAACCCCAUUCUGCCGUUGAUACUGGGUGGCUUGAUUGCGGUCGAGGUUGGCGGAAUUCGUUGUGUAGCGGUGAAAUGCAUAGAUAUGACGAAGAACACCGAUUGCGUAGGCAGCUGACCAGAUCGCAAAUGACGCUCAUGCACGAAAGUGCGGGGAUCGAACAGGAUUAGAUACCCUGGUAGUCCGCACAGUAAACGAUGAAUGCUUGUUUUCGGCGAUAGAAUGUCGGAGGCAAAGCGAAAGCGAUAAGUAUUCCACCUGGGGAGUACGCCGGUAACGGUGAAACUCAAAGGAAUUGGCGGGG